UCAAGCUACAAAGAGCACAAGGGGAAUGCCUUGGCACCGAGAGCCGAAGAAGGACGUGACUAACUGCGAUAAGCUGCGGGGAGCCGUAAGUAGGCUUUGAUCCGCAGAUUUCCGAAUGGAGCAAUCCGGCAAGAGGAAAGUCUUGUCAUCAUAUACUGAAUACAUAGGUAUAUGAGGGGAACCGCCUGAACUGAAACAUCUAAGUAGGGCGAGGAAGAGAAAUCAACUGAGAUUCCGUAAGUAGUGGCGAGCGAACGCGGAAGAGGCCAAACCGAGAGUAGUAAUACUUUCGGGGUUCGGACAGAAUACGGUAUUGUAAAGGUUUAGUGGAAUGGAAUGGGAAGUCCAACCGAAGAAGGUGAAAGUCCUGUACACGAAAAGCCUGAACAGCCAUCUGUAUCCAGAGUACCGCCGGACACGUGAAACCCGGUGGGAAUAUGGGGGGACCAUCCUCCAAGCCUAAAUACUACUCGGUGACCGAUAGUGAAGAAGUACUGUGAAGGAAAGGUGAAAAGUACCCCUGACGGGGAGUGAAAAAGAACCUGAAACCUUGUGUUUACAAGCACCGAAAGCUCAUCAAAGAGCGAUCGGGUACCUUUUGUAGAAUGGUCCGGCGAGUGAAUGUAACCGGCGAGGUUAAGCACUUAAGGUGUGAAGCCGCAGCGAGAGCAAGUCUGAAUAGGGCGUAUGAAGUCGGUUGUAUUCGACCCGAAACCGGGUGACCUACCCAUGGUCAGGUUGAAGUAAAGGUAAAACUUUAUGGAGGACCGAACCGACUCCCGUUGAAAUGGUAGCGGAUGAACUGUGGGUAGCGGAGAAAUUCCAAUCGAACCCGGAGAUAGCUGGUUCUCUCCGAAAUAGCUUUAGGGCUAGCCUUGAAAUAGAUUACCGGAGGUAAAGCACUGAAUUGGCUAGGGGCCGAGAGGUUACUGAACCUUAUCAAACUAAGAAUGCCGGAUAAUCGUUUUUCAGGAGUCAGACAGUGGGAGAUAAGUUUCAUUGUCAAAAGGGAAACAGCCCAGACCCACAGCUAAGGUCCCCAAGUAUAGUUAAGUGGAAAAGGAUGUGGAAUUGCACAGACAACCAGGAUGUUGGCUUAGAAGCAGCCACUCAUUAAAAGAGUGCGUAAUAGCUCACUGGUCGAGUGACUCUGCGCCGAAAAUUUAACGGGGCUAAACUAUACACCGAAGCUUGGGAUACAUCUAAUGUAUGGUAGGAGAGCGUUCUGUAUGGGGAGAAGUCGUAGCGAAAGCGGCGGUGGACUGUACAGAAGUGAGAAUGCCGGAAUAAGUAGCGAGAAUUAAGUGAGAAUCUUAAUGGCCGAAAGUCUAAGGUUUUUGGAGGAAGGUUCGUCCGCUCCAAGUAAGUCGGGAGCUAAGGUCAGGCCGAAAGGCGUAGCCGAUGCACAUACGGUUGAUAUUCCGUAACCAUCUGUAAUUUAAGCAAAGGGACACUUCAAAAGGGUGUGACCCGGGCGUUGGUUGACCCGGGCGUAAGGGACCGAAAUUAGAGUAGGGAAGCACACUUAGCUGAAGGCGAGAAAAGCUUUGCGUAUAGAAACAGAUGCCCGUACCGCAAACCGACACAGGUGGACAGGAAGAGAAUUCUAAGGCCAGCGGGAGAAGGGUAGUUAAGGAACUCGGCAAAUUGACUCCGUAACUUCGGAAUAAGGAGUGCUCGAAAGAGCCGCAGAGAAUAGGCCCAGGCGACUGUUUAGCAAAAACACAGGUCUCUGCCAAAUCGAAAGAUGAAGUAUAGGGGCUGACACCUGCCCGGUGCCGGAAGGUUAAGAGGAGGAGUGAGAGCUCCGAAUUGAAGCCCCGGUAAACGGCGGCCGUAACUAUAACGGUCCUAAGGUAGCGAAAUUCCUUGUCGGGUAAGUUCCG
rnacentral:rRNA from 1 species